ensembl:lncRNA
CAACUUAUAACUUUUAAGGAUUAAAUAAGAUAAUAUAUAGAUGGGCAGAGCUCACAGUACGGGCUCAACAAAUAUUAAUUACUUUCUCUGGCAUGCUGCAGUCCAUGGAGUCACAGAGUUGGAUAUGACUGAGCGACUGAAAUGAACUGAACUUUCUCUGACACACAUAGCUAGCUUUACCUUAUUUUGAGGGGGAGGCAUUUCUAGGUUCAUUCCUAGGUAAUGUCAAAUAGUAUGCUGAAUGAAGUGUUAGAGAGGAAGUGAAGAAAUAGGUAAGGGUCCUCUUAGUUCAGUUCCGAGGACAGCCACAUGGGACACCCACAUAAGCAUGAUCCCAUGGUUGAAAAUGGAGACACAUAUUACAGAAAUCACCACUUGUGAAAUCGAGGACUAGCUGAAGUGGCCCACUUGACAUAAUAGGAAGGCAGAGACAAUUUUAUUUUGCUGCAUUACCUCUCCAGGGCGAUGGGGACUCAUAGUGAGUUUUCAACUCUAUAAUAAAGACAACUACUUUCUAUGCAUUGACAUCCUAGUUUAGACAAGAGGCAGACCAGCUGUGAGAGAUGUGAAGACAUAUUUCAGUUUUAUUAUUUUAGGUAUAGAUGGGUAUGUUAAUCCAUUUCCACAUACAAUUCCUGUAAUCACAGAUAGGGAGUGAACCUUGAACUGGCAAAACCUGUCUCCUGUUGUCAAAGAGUUAAGUUGGAAAGAUGGAACCUCAAAGUUGAGAAUUGGUGUAUCAUCUUCCUUCCCAGCCUUGCUGUGCUGAUGGUUGCGGGCACACACACAAGCUUUCUUUUUUAUCCAGGCACUGAUCCACAGAUAACAAUAUUGUCUCUUUCUUCCCCCUGGCAAACUUUCUGCUUUCAGUCCAUAGCUCAGAGUUUCCCAUGUUCUGCUCUCUAGGUUCUGACAGCUCUUUUCAGACUUAUUAGAAGCCAAGAAAUAAUUGUAGUAUAAAACUCUCUUUCUAUUGUCACAUUGCUUCUUUCUGCAAAUAUAUCUCAGGAGUUAAACUUUGAACCUUUGAUCUCUCACACCAAAAGAAAAAAAAUAUUUAUAUGAAAGUAAUUUAAUUUUAGUGUUCAUGGUUUAUUAUGGAAAGGAGGUGUUUAAAAUUUUUAGAAUUUUUUUAACAAAAUUCUAAGAUAAAAGAAAAAAAGAAAUCACAGUAUUUACAGAGAUAACAGAAUGGCAUAGCCAUGCAGAACAAAUAACUUUGGUUUUUCCCCUUUCACUUUGGUUUAAAUAUUGACCAAGAUUCAAUUUUUUUUCUGCCAAAUAAAACUUCAAUAAAUCAAAGUUUAGAGGCAAAAAUAACAUAUUUUCUUUUUUCCCAUCAUAUUUUAUACAGCAUUGAGUCUAAAUAGGAUAUUUUAUAUAUUUAAUUCAUACCAAUACACUAUAGGAAGCUUUUAUUAAACUGAGUCACUAUUGCUCAGACAGCAAACGGUUUACAAAUGUACAACAAUGUGUAUUUCUAAAUAAUGCAAAAGUGGCAUUUAUUCCUAAUAUUCUUCUGACUUUAACCUUUAAUUUAUUUUUCAUUGCCUUCCUAAUUAAUUAUUCCAUCAAUCUCAAAAACAAACACCAGUUUUCCUUUCCUCCCAAAGAACACAGUUCUAUACCUGGGAAUCUGAUGUUCAUUUUUUUUUGGAUAAAAUUAUGUAAAUCUUGGGACAAAAAUGGCCAUGCCAUGUUCUCCCAGAAACCAGGCUUCUACUUGAAAGAGCAAAGUUUAAAAGUCUAGUCACAAGCAGCUAUUGGCCCAUAUCCAGUCUACCUCAAAAAUUUUCAUUUAAUACUACCACCCUAUAGAGUUCCUUCAGCAUAAAACAUGUUUAUAAAGUUACAAAUUUGAAUGUAACUAAAGAUACAUAGACAUUUUAUUAUUACACUUUAACAUACUGCUUGAUAAAUUAUGUACCAGUUAAAAACACUAAAUGAUCUCAAGGUGCAUUCAAUAUCUGUAGCAUAGUUAACAAAAACACACACGAAAAAAAUAUAUAUUCUAUAUUCUGUGGAAAAUAACACAGCUUUGAUAAUGAUCACUGUUAAAAAUCUCCAAUUCUGACUGAUAUCUUUUUUUUAAAGGAAAUAGGUAUAAUUUUAAGGCAGUGGAUAACCCAAAGGAUUUAACUCCAAUUUUCAGUUCCAGUGAUAUACAUUGUAACCUAUGAAAAUGGGAAUGUUAGCCAUGAGUUUUCCAAACUGUCUCUUAUACACUGACUUUCUUUUUAUUUUGACAGAAAAUAAUUUACUAGCAGGUGUCUCUAAAGGUAAAUGGUACCCAAGUUCUGUGUGCUGUUUUUUUUCAUAACAAGAAAAAGCCUCAGUUUGGGAGUACUAUUUAUUAUUAUGUGUAUGUCCAUAUGUGUGUGUGAUUGCUUCUGAGAGUCAGCUGGUGGCACAUUCACAGAAAUAGUUCAUCUGGUGCUUAUCAACCUGACUCUCUGCCUGCUCCUCCCUAGUGAAAAAAAUCAGUUUUUGAUAAGGGCAAUGUGUGUCCCCAAUCUUCACAAGCUUCCACCUUUGGGAUUUAGGUGCUUGUGAGAAAGUUUGGGGGGAUUACUGAUAGCAAUCAGAAUCAGAAAGGUACCUGCUCAGAUUAUUCAUAUAAACAAUUAAAAUAAAAACAUCACAUUAUACAUCAGAUUAACAGCAACUCCCAGAACAAAGCUUACAGUGUAUAAAAAUAGCUACGUAAAAAAUUUACAUAAAAGGCAAACCAAAAAGAAAUUCUCAGUGCAGACAUUUACAGAAAAAAAUCAAACCAACACAACAUAUGACCUAUCAUCAUGGCUGCCAAAACUUGUUAUUGUUUGUAAUUUCAUUUCAUUGUUUUACUUGAGAUAAUUCCUGAAAUCCUGUGACAGCUUGGUAGAAUGAACUGCUUAAUACUUGAACCAUGAAUUGCUAUCAGUGUCUUUGUAUAUGUCUUAAAUACAAUCCACGUUCAUGCUUCAAUUGUUCUAUAUAGUUUUUUUCUGAAAUUAUAAAAAAAACACAAUUCAGAUAAGUUACCAUAGCAAUCACUUUUUACAAUUGGUAUAUGCUUUAUACUAAAUGUGAUACUUCACAAGAACUUUUUUUUUUUCCCCACAAGAACUUUUUAUAAAACUCUAUCAUUCCUGAACCUAGCUGCAAUCCCAGGUAUUGUUGCAGCUCUUUGAUUAAUAAUUUUUUUUUCUGAAUUGUUGAAAGUCUUUAUUUUGGGGAAUCUUGCUUAAUUCUUAUGAAAAUUAUAAGGUUUUCCAGGAAAAUAUUUCAUUCUGUUUCUUUUCAGGUUAAAAAUCUCAUUUAUCCCUUCAAAUCACACCCUAUUUUGUAGGCUUUGUAUUCAAGCUCAUUUUCCUUUGAGAAUUUACUCUAUCUGAUUUUGAAGAAAACAGAAGGCAAACUCUAUGUUUAUAAAGGAUUGAGGAAUGAAUCCUAGAGAAGCA